UACGUAGGGUGCGAGCGUUGUCCGGAAUUACUGGGCGUAAAGAGCUCGUAGGUGGUUUGUCGCGUUGUUUGUGAAAACCGGGGGCUUAACCCUCGGCGUGCGGGCGAUACGGGCAGACUUGAGUACUGCAGGGGAGACUGGAAUUCCUGGUGUAGCGGUGGAAUGCGCAGAUAUCGGGAGGAACACCAGUGGCGAAGGCGGCUAUCUGGGCUUUAACUGACGCUGAGGCGCGAAAGCUAGGGGAGCAAACAGG
rnacentral:rRNA from 1 species